rnacentral:rRNA from 1 species
UACGGGGGGGGCAAGCGUUGUUCGGAAUUACUGGGCGUAAAGGGCUCGUAGGCGGCCAACUAAGUCAGACGUGAAAUCCCUCGGCUUAACCGGGGAACUGCGUCUGAUACUGGAUGGCUUGAGUUCGGGAGAGGGAUGCGGAAUUCCAGGUGUAGCGGUGAAAUGCGUAGAUAUCUGGAGGAACACCGGUGGCGAAGGCGGCAUCCUGGGCCAGCACUGACGCUGAGUGAGCGAAAGCCAGGGGAGCAAACGGG